rnacentral:tRNA from 1 species
GCCAGUGUGGCUCAGUGGGUAGAGCAUCAGCCUGCGGACUGAAGAGUCCUAGGUUUGAUUCCGGGCAAGGGCA